CUUCUUGCACAUUACAGGCCUGUUUUUGUGACUGAUGGAUGCUCAGAGCCCACGGAGGCUUUACCUUUACAUGGGAACUGACUCUUCUCUGCAUCUCAGCUGUUUCAUGCUCGCAUGAUUCUAACGAGGUCAGAGUGGCUCCUAUCCUGUUGUGUGCCAGACAAGAUGAAAUGUAAGAAAAUCCUUCAGUCUGCAAUGCUAUGCUAUAUGCUGACUACUUCUUUGAAGAGUCUGUGGUCCCAGUUUGAUGCUGCUGUCUUUCCCCUGG